rnacentral:rRNA from 1 species
UACGAAGGGGGCUAGCGUUGCUCGGAAUUACUGGGCGUAAAGGGAGCGUAGGCGGACAUUUAAGUCAGGGGUGAAAUCCCAGAGCUCAACUCUGGAACUGCCUUUGAUACUGGAUGUCUUGAGUGUGAGAGAGGUAUGUGGAACUCCGAGUGUAGAGGUGAAAUUCGUAGAUAUUCGGAAGAACACCAGUGGCGAAGGCGACAUACUGGCUCAUUACUGACGCUGAGGCCCGAAAGCGUGGGGAGCAAACAGG